rnacentral:rRNA from 1 species
CAGUCGAACGCGAAAGUCCCUUUCGGGGGACAAGUAGAGUGGCGCACGGGUGAGUAACACGUAGGUAAUUUACCUUCGGGUGGGGAAUAACCCAGGGAAACUUGGGCUAACACCGCAUAACGCAGCGGCACCACAUGGUGACAGUUGUUAAAGCGGGGGAUUUUCGGACCUCGCGCCUGAAGAGAAGCCUGCGGCGGAUUAGCUAGUUGGUAAGGUAACGGCUUACCAAGGCGACGAUCCGUAACCGGCCUGAGAGGGCGGUCGGUCACACUGACACUGACAUACGGGUCAGACUCCUACGGGAGGCGGCAGUCGGGAAUUUUGGGCAAUGGGCGAAAGCCUGACCCAGCAACGCCGCGUGAAGGAUGAAAUCCCUCGGGAUGUAAACUUCGCAAGAAUAGGAAGAAUUAGUAGGGGCUAAUACCCCCUAUGAUGACGGUACUAUUUGUAAGCUCCGGCUAACUCCGUGCCAGCAGCCGCGGUAAUACGGGGGGAGCAAGCGUUGUUCGGAUUUACUGGGCGUAAAGGGCGCGUAGGCGGCCAGCGCAAGUCAGUUGUGAAAUCUCCGGGCUUAACUCGGAAAGGUCAACUGAUACUGCGCGGCUAGAGUGCAGAAGGGGCAACUGGAAUUCUCGGUGUAGCGGUGAAAUGCGUAGAUAUCGAGAGGAACACCUGCGGCGAAGGCGGGUUGCUGGGCUGACACUGACGCUGAGGCGCGAAAGCCAGGGGAGCGAACGGGAUUAGAUACCCCGGUAGUCCUGGCCUUAAACGAUGGAUGCUUGGUGUCUGGAGUUAUAUAGUCUCCGGGUGCCGCAGCUAACGCGUUAAGCAUCCCGCCUGGGGAGUACGGUCGCAAGAC